AGGUGUGUUACAGAGUGGUGAUGCAGCUCUGUGGUGUGUGGGGUCUACCUGUCAUGGCUGUGCAAGUCCUGGUUGAGAGGAAGAAAGCUGGAGUACACCCCAACGCCAUCACAUACGGAUAUUACAACAAGGCAGUCUUAGAAAGCCCCUGGCCAAGCUGAAACCCUAGCGGCCUCUUCAUGUGGACCAAGCUUCGUAAUGCGGUUGGAGGAGUUGCCCAGUUCAAGCACACUCCAAGAAGGGGUCCAUGCCAGUGCGACAGCUGCAUCAAUAGGAGGAUCUGCAGUCAAUGACGCCGACCGCUUGAGUCAUGGAAGUGCCGACACCUCGAACGAGGUCAACGGUGAGGAUCAUAACCCAUUUGCCCACACCGACGGCAUGGAAGACACAACAGACAACCACUGCAGUACAGGUACUGACUCCUGCUGAGCCACACAGCACUGGAAGGUUUUUGACAGCGCUGACUAUUGUAUUCACAGCAAGUCCAAUAGGACUUGCAAACUUGAUUCCAAGUUGAACCCUGAAAAUCUGAUUGGCACAAUUCACUGUAGUCCCGAAUCUUAGCAAUUGAGUAGAUGUGGAGAAUGUUACCCGUUUCUAAAAGAAAACAGAGUAACCAGGGGUGUACAAAAAAGUAAGUAGAUCUCCUUUGAA